UACGGGAGGCAGCAGUGGGGAAUAUUGCACAAUGGGCGCAAGCCUGAUGCAGCCAUGCCGCGUGUAUGAAGAAGGCCUUCGGGUUGUAAAGUACUUUCAGUCGUGAGGAAGGUGUUAAGGUUAAUAACCUUAGCAAUUGACGUUAGCGACAGAAGAAGCACCGGCUAACUCCGUGCCAGCAGCCGCGGUAAUACGGAGGGUGCGAGCGUUAAUCGGAAUUACUGGGCGUAAAAGGGCACGCAGGCGGUUAAUUAAGUUGGAUGUGAAAUCCCCGGGCUUAACCUGGGAAUGGCAUUCAAGACUGGUUAGCUAGAGUCUUGUAGAGGGGGUAGAAUUCCAUGUGUAGCGGUGAAAUGCGUAGAGAUGUGGAGGAAAUACCGGUGGCGAAAGGCGGCCCCCUGGACAAAAGACUGACGCUCAUGUGCGAAAGCGUGGGGAGCAAAACAGGAUUAGAUACC
rnacentral:rRNA from 1 species